rnacentral:lncRNA from 1 species
AGGGAGGUGUGGGUUUAGUGCUGGACGGAUGUGGGCUGUAUGGUCCAAAGUUGCUGGGGGCUUGACCGGUGGGGCAGCGGACCGCCUGGACCGGGGACGCGGUAGAGAUGCCCGGCCCUUUGCUGAGAUCGAAUAUUAUACAACCACGGAUAAGAUUUUAAGUAGAAAUAAGAGUGAAAGGAAAUAUCAUAUGGCACGAAAGAGGGGCCCUACGAUCUUUAACUUAGUAAGAAACAAUAAAGAGCACAUCCCGAUGCAUAGAAGAUCGGGAAUAUAUUCUAUUCCCCUAUACAAUAAUGAUGAACAAGUAGAGCAGUGUUA